GAUCCGAACGAAGGAUCUCUGCUGAAUCAAAACAUUGUCCAAAACCUCCAUUCCCCAGGUACCGGGAAAGAGAGCGAAUACUAUCCAAGAAGUACUUCACCAGUUGGCUUUUCUGAAGACAUUAUAGAUCAAGCAGAAACUUUACCGCAAUAAAUCUCUGGGAUAUCUACUUUCCCCACUUGUACUUCCUAUACCGUGCCGAAGAAAACGUGACGUUAAGAAUUCUGGAUGUCUGAGCAUGUUGAGGACUUAGUCUCUGAGCUGUGACAUGCAGAGAGUAUUUUCGUCAUUUCCCGUGCCCACACAAACAUCAAACAAAGUUGGAGGAUACUGAAGGAAAAGGUGCCACAGUGUGGGAGGAGUUCAUACCAUUUUGAGGGCUACUUGGCUAAAGCAACCUUCCAGCUGCAGCAUUCAGAGGCCAGCAAGUGGAUGUACCCUUUCCUACUGGCUGUGGCUCAGCUCUUUCCUCCAAAUAAAUAAAGGUAAAGGUCCAGGGAGUUAAUUGUGAAUAAAAUUGUGCAAUAGGUAAAUACUCCUAUGGGGGGGACCAGCACGGAGUCCCCAACAGAUAAAUACCCCAAUGGGGGGUUUGGGGGCAGAGCCUCCAAUAGGUAAAUAUCCCAGCAGAGGGUGGUCCAGGGGGCAGAGCCCCUAAUAAGGGGUUAGGUAAGGUUGUUUGAUUUGAACAUUUUGUAAAUAUAUAUCUAAAUGUAGCUUUGCUGCUUGGUAAUGAUGUGCAUUUCCAUAGAUUUUAAUGUAAGUGGGCAGGGUUUCCCGUAGACUUUUUUUGAAGCAUGGUCAGUCAAGCUGUUAAGUUUUGCAUAGAUUAUAUACUGUGUAAAAUUAUACCGAUAAAUGUAAAUAGAGCACCUG